GACGAACGCUGGCGGCGUGCUUAACACAUGCAAGUCGAACGGAAAGGCCCUGCUUUUGUGGGGUGCUCGAGUGGCGAACGGGUGAGUAACACGUGAGUAACCUGCCCUUGACUUUGGGAUAACUUCAGGAAACUGGGGCUAAUACCGGAUAGGAGCUCCUGCUGCAUGGUGGGGGUUGGAAAGUUUCGGCGGUUGGGGAUGGACUCGCGGCUUAUCAGCUUGUUGGUGGGGUAGUGGCUUACCAAGGCUUUGACGGGUAGCCGGCCUGAGAGGGUGACCGGCCACAUUGGGACGGAGAGACGGCCCAGACUCCUACGGGAGGCAGAAGUGGGGAAUAUUGCACAAUGGGCGGAAGCCGGAUGCAGCAACGCCGCGUGCGGGAGGACGGCCUUCGGGUUGUAAACCGCUUUCGCCUGUGACGAAGCGUGAGUGACGGUAAUGGGGAAAGAAGCACCGGCUAACUACGU
rnacentral:rRNA from 1 species